GGGCGCUUGCACCCAGGCGUCGAGCGGCGGACGGGUGAGUAACGCAUAGGAAUCUACCCGGUAGUGGGGGAUAACCUGGGGAAACCCAGGCUAAUACCGCAUACGUCCUACGGGAGAAAGCAGGGGCUCUUCGGACCUUGCGCUAUCGGAUGAGCCUAUGUCGGAUUAGCUGGUCGGUGAGGUAACGGCUCACCAAGGCGACGAUCCGUAGCUGGUCUGAGAGGAUGAUCAGCCACAUCGGGACUGAGACACGGCCCGAACUCCUACGGGAGGCAGCAGUGGGGAAUAUUGGACAAUGGGCGCAAGCCUGAUCCAGCCAUGCCGCGUGUGUGAAGAAGGCCUUCGGGUUGUAAAGCACUUUCAGUGGGGAAGAAAUCCUCGGGGCCAAUACCCCCGAGGGAGGACAUCACCCACAGAAGAAGCACCGGCUAACUCCGUGCCAGCAGCCGCGGUAAUACGGAGGGUGCGAGCGUUAAUCGGAAUUACUGGGCGUAAAGCGCGCGUAGGCGGCGUGAUAAGCCGGUUGUGAAAGCCCCGGGCUCAACCUGGGAACGGCAUCCGGAACUGUCAGGCUAGAGUGCAGGAGAGGAAGGUAGAAUUCCCGGUGUAGCGGUGAAAUGCGUAGAGAUCGGGAGGAAUACCAGUGGCGAAGGCGGCCUUCUGGACUGACACUGACGCUGAGGUGCGAAAGCGUGGGUAGCAAACAGGAUCAGAUACCCUGGUA
rnacentral:rRNA from 1 species